AGAUUGAACGCUGGCGGCAUGCUUUACACAUGCAAGUCGAACGGUAACAGGCCGCAAGGUGCUGACGAGUGGCGAACGGGUGAGUAAUGUAUCGGAACGUGCCCAGUCGUGGGGGAUAACGCAGCGAAAGCUGCGCUAAUACCGCAUACGAUCUAUGGAUGAAAGCGGGGGACCGCAAGGCCUCGCGCGAUUGGAGCGGCCGAUAUCAGAUUAGGUAGUUGGUGGGGUAAAGGCUCACCAAGCCAACGAUCUGUAGCUGGUCUGAGAGGACGACCAGCCACACUGGGACUGAGACACGGCCCAGACUCCUACGGGAGGCAGCAGUGGGGAAUUUUGGACAAUGGGCGCAAGCCUGAUCCAGCAAUGCCGCGUGCAGGAAGAAGGCCUCGGUUGUAACUGCUUUGUACGGAACGAAACGGUACCUGGUUAAUACCUGGGCUAAUGACGGUACCGUAAGAAUAAGCACCGGCUAACUACGUGCCAGCAGCCGA
rnacentral:rRNA from 1 species